rnacentral:rRNA from 1 species
AUUGAACGCUGGCGGCAGGCCUAACACAUGCAAGUCGAGCGGAUGAACGCUGCUUGCUCCUGGAUUCAGCGGCGGACGGGUGUGUAAUGCCCGGGAAUCUGCCUCCUUGUGGGGGAGAACGUCCGCAAAAGGGCGCUCAUACUGCAUACGUCCUGAGGGAGAAUGUGGGUGGGCUUCGGAACUCUUGCUCUUAGGUGAGUCUAGGUCGGAUUAGCUAGUUGGUGGGGUAAAGGCCUACUAAGGCGACGAUUCGUAACUGAUCUGAGAGGAUGAUCAGCCGCACUGGAACUGGAACAGGGUCAUGACUCCUAAGAGAGGCAGCAGAGGGGAACAUGGGGCAAGAGUCGAGAGCCUGGUCCAGCCAGGCCGCGUGUGUGAAAAAAGUCUUCUGAGUGUAAAGCACUUUAAGUGGGGAGGAAGGGCAGUAAGUUAAUACCAAGCUGUUGUGACGUUACCAGCAAAAGAAGCACCGGCUAACUUCGUG